rnacentral:rRNA from 1 species
CAAUUAGAGGAAGUAAAAGUUGGGACCAGGGUUCCGGAGGUGACCUGCGGAAGGAUCAUUA